AUAAUUGAACCCGCAGUUCUGAUGAUUAGGUCGACCCGAACCGGUACCAGCAAGAGAAACGAAGAAAAAAAACGUACACAUGACCCAGCCUCCCGAUCCCCUUGCAGCCGUCAUCGCCGCCCGACCAUGGAGUCCCGGCCGCCAGGUCCCCGGAGAUUUCCGCCUCCCUAAAAGUCCAGAUCUCCAGUCCAGCGCGCCGCCACCUCCUGCCCCGCACGCCUCACCUCGCGCCUCCGGUCCGCCCCCCGUCGCCGCACGCCGUCAGUCCCCGCCCCCUGUCGCAGCGUGCCGCCGGACCGCCUACCGUCGCUGGCUCUCCCCAGCCCUGAGGUCACAUCUCUUCCGAAGAUCCUCUCCAACUCAUAGUUCCUCGCAGAGGGCACCCGCUCGCACCGGCGUGUUAAGAGGAGGUAGGUCGCCCCUCCUUGCGGACGCAUGGACGAGGGUCUCACGCUGCCGCCGGUAGCGGCAACUGCAGCGGACCACGUGCUCUGGCGUAGUCAGGGGAAAGCAGCGGCUCCGACUCCAAUGUUGGCCUUGGCGGAAGCACGAAGGGGUCACACUGGGCGGCACUGUGGCAGGGGACAGGGUGCUGGGUUUCGCGGUAAGAUCGUCUAUUGGUGGAUUCCGUCUGGAUUGGAGCAGCGCAACAGGAAUAGGAUCGCGGGUGGUGGUGGUCCAGGACGUGGGGACGGGGAGAGGAGAGAUAGCUGUGAGCACGAGGUCCUUGCUGGCUGAAUCAAAUCGAAGCGCUCCGUCCAUCUCUAUUGGCCUUGGACGAACAAGGCAAUAAGGUACAGGACGAACAUGAAGAUAUAAGGAUGGGAGAUCAACAUAUUGUUGUUUUCUCUGGUGAAUGUGAAGUUCCGGUCUAUCUAAAAAGCAGCUAAUGUCUAGCAAUCUGCAGCAAGAACUCUAUCCACUCAUCUGGUCCAACAUACACCCAUGGAAUUCUCCAUCCACAUCUCUCUGUUCGUGAAAGCAACUGCUAAAUUUGUAUGGUAAGAGUGGUCCCGUACAUGCAUUCCAUUGGCUACUAAAUUAAUUAAAUUCCCGCGAAUUACAAUAGAAUUUAAUUAGGAGGGCAAGUAAUUAUUGGUGAUAACUACUUGGUUUAUUUUUGUAGGCGCGAUUGUAGUCUUAGAUCUUUGUAGGAUUUUGUAAUGUGGCUCAGAUGUGUUGUGUGAAUUUAGAUAGCUUUGAUGUCUGAAUAUAUACAUUUUGCUGAUUUCCUGUCCUUACUGAAGUUAAAGUUCUGAAAUAAAUCUUCAGAAACAAUGAUGUUAUGUCUGAAACCGAUCUGAGUAGUGAGCCAAAUUAACAAUUAUUUUCUCUGUUCUUAAUCAGUACAUAACACCUGUUUUCUCAGUUGUUAACUUAAGAUUCGACCACUAUGAGCAGCAUUGCAGCAGUCGGCCAGAGGCUUCCAGUUUUUCAUUUGAAUGUGCUAGAGAGAUGUUUCUUUGCUUCAUUUUCAUUUGAAUGUGCUGAUGAAGAGUUGAAGCUGCAAGAAGCCCAACCGUCAAAUAGUCCUGAAGACCUAUGGAUUUGUCACCGAAGUGUUGAGCUUAGUAAGAGAUGACAUAAACUGUGAGCUUUCAUCCGACAAAGUUGUGCUGGUGUCUGGUUGGAAAACAUGUUUCCUAUUACCACCGCCCCUAGCAGCUCACAUUUGUUUCGUAAUAUCUCUAGCAAUUUCUCUAAAUCCAUUUUUUAUAUGGCCUGAUGAUUCAUCAUCAAAUGCCACCCAUGUUGUGUGCCUUCAGAAUGAGGUGUUUCAUGUGGAAGGCCAAAGGAUCCUUCAGUUUGCUUUCUCAAUGUUUGACUAAAUAUUUCAUUCAUGUUCAACAGACCUUACGAGCAAUCGAUGGAGGCAGUGCGUGAGCUAGCUUCCUUGUGGCCGGAUUGAUAGAGGCACUGCAUGAGGAACCGAGCCACCGAUGCAGGUCGGCGCCGGCUCCAUUGCACAUGGCAGCCGCCACCACAUCUGCCGUCUCCGCAUCUGAACAACCGCUGCUUUGUGAGCCGCCUCAUCUAGCGAGGACGCUGCUGCUUCUGAGGACACAGGAGCCGCCUCAUCCGGUGAAGACUCGCCGCCGUUCCACAGUGAGGCCACCGCUGGCGCCGUUGUUUCCGCACUAAUCGCAGUCCGCCUGUGGAGCUCCACAUACAGACGUUGGAUGUGUUCGAUGAUGGAGCUACCUGCGUUGGCUGUGUUGCCGGAUCAUGGCAAGGAAUAAAUUUUACAACCAAAAUCAUAUUCUACCAACUUAUUUGGUGCAUAUUAUCAUUUAGCAGUACGCUGGCUGUGCCUUCCUAUGAUAAAUGGAGAUCUUAGAUGUACUAUUGUUCCGUCAGGCAUUGAACCUAUCAAUGACUGACCAUGAAAGAUAUGUGUAGCUCUAAUUUUCUCCAUAUGUUUCUGUUUUCAAGGAUAAUUCUUAAUCCUUUUGGAAUUACCAUCUGUAAACAUGUUUGGAAUUAUCAUCUAUGUAGAUCUGUGCAGAUUCAAAUCUCUUCA